UUAAUACAACUACUAUGGAAAUCAGUAUGGAGAUUCUUCAAAAGACUAGGAGUGUAACCAUUCCAUAUAUCCCAAUUAAUUAUUUCACUCCUUGGUAUUUAUCCAAAAGAAAGUGUACUAUAGUGGUCUGUGCAUACUCAUGUUUAUGGAAACACACUUCAUAGUAGCCAAAUUAUGGAAGCAGCCUAGGUGUCUGUCAACAGAUGAAUGGAUAAAGAAAAUAUGGUGUAUAUAUGCAAUGGAGUUUUACUAGUCAUAAAGAGGAAUAAAAUUAUGUUAUUUGCAGGAAAAUGGAUGGAGCUGAAAAAUAUCAUGUUAAGUACAGUGAGCUGGACUCAGAAAGUCAAUGAUUGUAUGUUUUGCCUAAUGUGGAAGAGAAAAAAGAGAAAAUAAGGGAUCUUAGGAAAACAAAAGGGAGACCAGUAAAGAGAGGAUGGAGAUCAGGGGGAGGGAAAAGGAAGGCAAAGGGAAUGAAAGAGCCCAAAUUAUGCUAUGUGCUAAUGUAAAUAUAUCAUAAGGAAGCCCACUAUUAAGAAUAAUUAUAGCUGGGCAUAGUAGUGCAUGCCUGUAAUUCUGGUGGCUUGGGAAGCUAAGACAGGAGGAUCAUGAGUUCAAAGCCAGCCUCAGCAAUGGCGAGGUGCUAAUAAGCUGCUCAGUCAGACCCUGUCUCUAAAUAAAAU
rnacentral:lncRNA from 1 species